rnacentral:tRNA from 1 species
GCCUCCGUGGCGCAAUCGGCUAGCGCGUUCGGCUGUUAGCCGAAAGGUUAGAGGUUCAAGCCCUCCCGGGGGCG